rnacentral:misc_RNA from 1 species
CUGCGGCCGCGAUAGUAACGGUUACCCCGCAACGAGGCGGCGGAACGCAGUGGAGCCGCUGAUUGAGGAGUAUGAGUGGAUAGCGCGAAAUGUC